GUGGCGUUCCCAUCACCAAAUUUAUAUUGAUUCUCUCUAUAAUGUCAAUGACAUGAACCUUACCCUGUCUGUUUAUAUAUGGCUUAGCGUUUCUCUCCUCCCCCCUGCAGCUCUCCCCCAAGGCCAUCAACUCUACUUACUUGGACAGGAAAAAGAAAUCAAUGGGUGCAAGAAUGAGGAUUAAUCUGGCUCUUGCUUUAGCAAUAUUGAUGGUGGUGAUGAUGAGCUCCUGCUUGGCUAGAAAAGUUAUCAAAGUAGAUGUGCUCAAGCAUGAUGACACCAUUGUCCAUGGCCGGCAGCUGCUUGAUGAAGGCGACAAAGUCGGAGCCGGCUACCCUGAGAGCAAUGUGAACAACCACCAUUACAUUCCUAGGCAGGACUUCAAUAACUACCCUGUUGGUCCUGGAGAUGAAAGUGGGUGAAUCGACAAGAGCAAUACAUGGUAAUGGUGUGAGGAAUAAAUUACCUACCGUUUCGGAUGAUGAUAUGAUGUUACUUCAUGUUUAAUUAGGUUUUCCCAUACAUAUACCUCUGUGAUCUAAUUAGCUUCUGUAUCGUGCUAUGUACUUUGUAUCAUCGUUCUGGUUGUA